CAGGCAGUACAGGCCCUGUGAGACGUAGGUGUGAGGCCAGACAUCUGCAGAGGAGUGGUGGAGCACCUGGUCUGUACAGUACAAGUUGGAAUGUCCCGCGCCCCCCAUCGGCCCCGCAGAUGGUUUGCCCCAGCUCUGCCACUCGAUCAUGUGGGCGACACGGCCCUGUGCCAUGGCGGUGGGCUUGGUCACUUUGUCCUUCAUGGAGCGAGUCACACCUACAACAGGGUCCACAGCUGAGAAGUGAUACAUGGCUCAGUAAUAGUCUGAGCCCUGGGGAGAGCGGCUCCGUGGCCUUGGCGUGUAUGUCUGAGUGACCUAUCUUGAGGCCAAGGCCUGUCCAUGUAGCAGCAGGAGGCUGUU